ACUGUUUGUUCAGACAGCCUGGGAACUCCUGAGGCCUUUUAGGCAAGAAUGAAGGAACUUGGAUUCAGAGCGGGAGUGGGAGGACGGAGCCACUGAAAGAAGAGAGAAGCAGAAGACAAGGAAACAGAGUAAUCCUCCUAGAGUUGAUGCUGUCUGUCACUGUGGCGUACAAGGGAGACGGUCAGACGGAGUUCUGUCUGAGAAACGCCAUCUCACCUGGACCACCCCUGCCUGGAACCCCGUGCCAGAACACUGAGUCAUGGCGGAUUGCUCAAUGGAAGUGGUACCAUCUGUGCGGAGCCUGGGGUUUUCCUCGUUAGCUCUAAUCCACACAACUAUGCUGCAGAGAAGGCUUCUCAGAGCAGGAAUCUUAGUAACUCACACAAAGCCCACACAGCCAGGAAGGGGCAGGGCAGGGACUCAAACCUGGGAUGGGGAAGCCGGGUGCUCCCACCAGCCCACCUGUUCUGUCCCCACAUCACCCAGCUCUCCGCCGCGCUGGGGCCCGGGCUCCCCCUGGAAUUUCCUCACUGGGGCCACCUGGAUUUCUGUCCUCUAGGUUAGCAGAGCACCUGCAGAGUGGAUCUCUUUUCAGCAGCUUUGGGUAGAAACUGCAGCAGUGGUUUAACAUUCCCUGACAGGGCAAGUCUCAUUUGCAUCUGUGGCCACCUCUGACUAGCCCACAACAUCCAGUUUAUAUCAAUUUAUGUUCAUGUCUCCUUUUGCUGGGGGGGAGGGCACAUCUUUGCCCUUUGCCCUCUUCCCUGUCACUUUUAUUUCUGGCCUGUACCUUCUUCUCCUUGUUUUUUUUUAAAAACCCAUGGACCUCAGCCCUCAGUUCCAACAUGUUUUUAUGACUAAAACCCACUUAUGGGCAGGAGGUUGUCACAUCAGUGCUUAAAGGGGUGUGGAAAUUGUUAUAACUAGCACUGUGCAAUAGAAUAAUCUACAAUGAUGGAAAUACUCUAUAAUCUGCAGUGUCUCAGACAGUAGCCACUUGAAAUGUGGCUCACGUGACUGAAGAACUGAAUUUUAAAUGUGGUUGAACUUUAAUUUUAACUUAAACAGCCACAUGUAACCAGAGGCUACUGUCCUGAACAGCACAGGCCGGGCAUUCAAGGAAAGUUGGAAGAUGGCCCCAUUUCUGCAUAUUUCAGAAUCCUAGGUCAUGGCUGGGGCUCACAUCUUACUUCUGGGAAGCCCCUGGAAGGGCUAUUUCACUGGUAGGAAGUCCCCAAGGGUCGAGAGUCUUGUUUAAAAAUAAAGAUCUAGGUUGGCUUAGAGCUGGACAUGGGAAGGGGAGUAGAAGCAGAUCCAGUUGGGGCUAGAAUAGUCCGUGGGAUGGGAGAUGGAGUCAAACUAUAGAGGGAAACAUACAGGACAAAGCCCUUGACCUCUACACUUGAUUGGCUGUGUGAUCUGGGGCAAGCUACCUACCCUCUCUGAGCCUUAGAUUCCUUAUCUGUGAAAUAGAGAAUAACAUACUGAUAAUGAUAAAAAUACCUCUUUGUGCAUCUUCUAGAUUUGAUGCAGGCACACCAUCGUGGUUGUAAAAAGCCUUUCCUAAACUGUUACGUCUCUAUAAAUAGCUAUUAUUAUUAUUUUGGACCAAUGGCUGGAAGAUCUAGAAAAGUCAUAGACACACAAGGUGUGAAUACAUCCAGGCAGCUGGUAUGGCUUUGUGACUGGUAGUAAGUGAAUCCUAGUAGACAAGGGAUGUUAUAUAAGCACAGGAGAGAAAAACUUUAUCCAGGGCUCAGGGAAGGUCAUUAAUAUCCUUGGGGUUCUGUGUGGUUGAGGGGACACCAGGCAGUAAGAGAGCCCCAUAGAAGUGUGGCUCCACUAGAAUGUAGGCUCCCAAAGGUCGAGACAGCGAGACAGCAGAACAGUGACUUGUGUGUAGCAGCCACUCAGUAAAUAUUUGGUGGAUGAAUAAGUAGAUAAAUAACUGUGAAGCAUCUUAAACCAUCCUAAUCCAAUCUACUCACCAAGGGCAAUGAAAUAGUGGUGCCAAGACGUUGUGCACAAAGCACCAGCCUUUUAUGUUUGCUUCAGCUGGAGAAAAAGCAAAAAACCUGAGCAUUUGCCCCCCCUCCCUACCAUGGGCAGUUGAAAUAGGCUCUUGCAGUUUGUCUCUGACUAUGCAGUUCAUCUCCCCUAUUAAAAUCCAUGGUGUCUGAGGGCAGGGACAAAGGCACCUGGUGGCUAACAGCAACCCGCUGGCUAACAGUCACCCAGGAGAGUGUUUGAAUGAUCUUCCCGAAAGAGUUACAAUCUAGGAGACACCUUCCAGAAGACAGUCCUUCCCAGUGCAAAGAAGAGGCUUCCUGAGGAGGAGAUGACUCACCACCCACCCGCUUCAGAGAACACAACAGGGAACCUGGAGUUUCUGUUCAAUUGCUGAGAGCACUUGGGAGGGAUCCCAAAGAGAUCCCAUUUGUGGUUCCUGCUGAUCUGGAAGGCGACUUGACAGAACCACUCUUCCCACUAGAAUAUAAGGAGGUACUGGAAGGACAGGACCAUAUUUUGCUGGCCACCGGGCCAUCCUGGAGUUGGGCACACAGGAGCCCUUCAGGAGGGAGCUGUUUGGGACAACCAAUAUGGAAAAGAGUUUGGUAUUGUCUCAUAAGAUGGGCACAGCCCACGGCACAGCAAUGCCACUCCUGGGACUAAAUCUUUAAGAAGCUCUCGCAGGGCUGCGUUAGGCGGCGUGUGCCAGAAAGUUCAUAGCAGCACUGUGUGUAAGAGCCCCCACGUGGAACCACCCUGAGUGUCUCUCGAUAGGAUAAAAAAAUUGUGAUUGAUUCCCCCUGUAGAAUUCUGCAUCCAAACAGAGAUGAUUGGCAUAAAUGCACUGCAGCUGGCAUACUGCAGAAAUGCAUCAAAAAAAAAAAAGGGUCAAAGUCCAGAAGAGUAAAAGCAAGCAAGAAAAAGAAGAGGCAGUAGAAGAUUCUGCAGACUGGGCUGCCCUGGUGAUACUAGAUGUCUUAACGUGCUGUUUUCGGGGUCUGGGCGUAUGGAAGCUUCCCACAAUGCACAACUUGGAAAGAAGCAACAGAGAUACCAGCUCAGCCUGAGGCUCAAUAAAACAAUGUGGAACUCUUAAGAGGAGGAUUAGUAGGCAAGAGGAAGAUGACAAAAAUUGAAAACAAAAGAUAACAGGCUCACUCCGUCCUUGAAACUCUUCCUAGCAGCUUAUCAAAAAAAAGCUUGGUAGCAAAUUCACUCAGAAAUGUCUGUAAUUGAUCAUAUAUGUGAAGUUUAACUGCUUAGCUCAUCUGUUGACAGUUUUAUUCAUAAGAUGGAUAUUGAGUUACUCUCAAGUAAAUCUCCUUUCAUUGAGAGCCCAAUACUGAAAGACAAGUGGAUCCUAAUACAACACUGAUUACUCUUUUGAUGCCCAGAAAGGGUGGAUCUGUUUGCCUUCUAGGUUGAGAGGAAGGAGGGAUCCCAGAAUUAAUAAUUCAAAUAGGGCUGUUACACCGUGAGGAGAGGACAGAGUGUCAAGGCAGUGUUAAGAAUCUGGGAAGGCUGCCAGCAUGGUUUGCAUGGUAAGGGUGGAUAAAAACAUAAAGAGAAAUAUGGUCCAGUGGUUGAUCUGUCUUCUUUUCCUUUUUCAGAGUGGUUUACUUUUAAGCAGAAUUGUGUGAUUUUCAAGUUACUAAAAGAACAUAGCUGAUUUGCAGAUUUCUUUUAAAAUCAGAGUUUCUGCAAGCAGCAUGCUGGCAACAAGAGAAUUUGAUAAAGAUUAUGCCUUUUUAAAGCAUCUUUCUUGACGACAGUGAGUGCACCUUGGAGAUUUCCAUCGGACCGUCUCAUCUAUGGCCACCUUGUGGAGUGCCACCUACACUGCCUUAUCUGAAGCCCAUUAAAAUGUACAAAUUAAAAGCCAGUGGGAAAGAACAUAAUCUUGGCAAGUGCCUCUUGGGAAAUCUUACAACUGCAAGAGCGCCAUGGAAGAGUGCUCUAAAUACCGCCGUGGUUCAUCCCAUCUCCGCACAAUUGUAUAGGAGGGCAUGUGGCCAAGGCCUUGCAGGGAAGAGGCCGGGGUGCCCAAGCUCGUGAUUGGCUGGGGGGGAGUGAUGCUAAGCGAGCCACUUAGCCCACUCUAGCUUCACGAGGAGCACGCCACAUGCUUCUUUGCACAUUCUUUUAAAUCCUCGUGUGGUUGGCAUUUGGAGAAAUAUCGACUGCAACCAGACGUCGCAAUCCUGAUGACAGCUCUUGAAAUCCCAUCUUUCUCACAGCAACAUCCACUGUGUCAGCUCCCCACCCCUGUCACCAGAGAGCCUUCCCCACCCAAGUUGUGCUCCAAAUAGAAAGAAUUUCAGAUGUGCUUGUUUGGCUGCCUCCUCUCAAGGCCUCGGCAAAUAUUCAGGUGGUAAAUAGCCCGGGAGAAAUGCUGUUGAUAAAAUUAGUUCAAAUAUUUCGCAGAAAACAAACCUGACACCGACAUGAUACUUGAUAGCUCAGCCUCAGCACUUCCGAAAGUUUCCAAACCCUCUUGCCUUCAAAGCCCAAAUGUCUUGUUUUAAAUUGCCUUUAUUUUCCCCCUUUCCAAAGCUAAUCCUUGCCACCUUCUCCUCUCAAAAAAAAAAAAAAAAAAAAAAAAGAACCAUAUGGUUAUAGGAUGGUCCGACUGGGGAUUUUAUAUUACAAAUGACUGUGUUGAAGGUUAAUGUCCAAGGUCAGGUGUUAUUAAUAUCUAUUUGAAUUUUGUUCUUCUGGCCUGUGAUAUCAUCUGAGUCACCUCAUUGAUUUAUAACAUGGUAAUCCCAGACCAUCAUUCAUACUCCUGAAAUUCUGUUCAGGGCCUAGUAUCACACCCUCUCUUUAAUAUCCUUCCUGGUUUUGCACGAUCAGGAGCUUUACAGCCCUUGGGUUUAUCUCCUUCCCACAGGUAACACUGUACCUGGUGUCCAAGAUUGAUGGAUUGACUUUUCAUCCUGCCGUUUUCUCCUUUUCCUACAUUACUGUAGAAAAAAAAAUUCUUUUAACCCUUUCCUUGAGAAGUAUUUUAUCAUAUUCCUCUUCCCAAAGCCAGUUUUCCACCUUGAUUUUCAGGUAAUUAGCUUCCUCAGGUACAUCGGCCUGCUAAUUUGUAUCUCACAUGGGGCAUUUUCUCCUCUGCAGCUGAAAAUCUUGGUCUCCAGCCCCCAGCAGGAGCUGGCAACCCUCAGGACUGACUAUGUGCUGGUUACAACCAGGGCUAAGGGCUCUGACGGCUUCUCACCUAAUCCUCACAACACGCAAUGGGGUGGGUGCCAUUACUUCACCCACUCAGCACAGGAGGAAAAUGAGGUUCAGAGAAGCUUAAGUAACUGACCCAAGGUCACCCCCAGCCAUAGUGCCAAACUUGGGACCUAAGCUUUCAGUCUGUCUAUUUCUGAAGCUUGUGCGUUUUAUUACUUUCUAGCUGCCUGCCUCUAAUAAUGGUGGUGAUAAUUGAUGGCCAGUCAUUAUACAUGAUACGAUUAUUAUACAUAAGUGGACUUGGAAGCCUUGGCAAAACACUUAUUAACACUAAAAUUAUAUCAGCAUCUGGUAUACUUAUAUAAAAACAUUUUUUCCAGGACAUCUAAAAAUAAAAUAUAAAAAUUUUAACCAUUGGAAGAGUGGCAUGUGAUAACACAGAAAGUUCUUAAUUAGAAGGAAGGGAAAAAAAGCCCGUUAAUAUUCUUAGCAACUCAAAGGCCACGGCAGUUAACAUUCUGAUACACACUUCUUGCCAUUUUUCUUUGCGUAGGUUAUAUAUUGGUAAUCUUCCAUAUGUACAAAAUUGAGUUCUGUGUUUCCUCCUCAGUGUUAUAAUCAUCAUUUGCCCAUAGGUAUUUUCUACUUUUUUGGUUGCCACAGUCCCUAACUGCAGUCAGAGACAUGGUCAGAUCUCAAAAAACACAUGCUGACUCAUAAGAUGAAAUCUAGUCAUUCAUUAUUAAUUUCAGUAAGUUACUAAAUAGAUAAUACAUACACUUGUUCAAAAUUUCAAAUGCAGAGAAAGGUGUAUAGUAAAAAUCCGCCUCUUUCUUUUACCUCAUAAGGAUACCUUGUUGCACAGAGUUUGCAAGUCCAAGCUCCCAACUGGCCUUAGUACCCACUUCUUGGAAACAUAUACCUGGAUAACUCAGUGUCUUUGAUUCUAGACUCAAGAGAACAGAGUCCAGAGAGAAAUUUUUCCCCUAGCCAAGGUCUGAUUUCUGAGUAUCUAUCUUUUGCCUUAGAAUUCCAAGCCUUCAGGUAAGUGACAGACCCUUCUAAAGAGCCAAAUAGUAUCCUACAGAUCUCAAUAAACAACCAUAAUCCCUUACACGUAAUAACUUCCACACUUUAAAGACAGAACACACACAAAGGACAAUGGAAUAGCUUUAUCUGCACCCUCUUAGCCUAAAACCCAAGAUUCCAUGAGGGCACAAGAGGAGCCUGAUUAUUUCUCUUCACUACAUACCAGCGUGUGAAGCUCAACCUGAUGGAAGUUGGUGCUUCUGUUUUCAGACAUUUACUAGACUGUUUAGACAAAGUACCAGCACAGCGGGAGGCAGGCUUGGAGACCCGAGAUGAAAUGUUUUGUAGUGUAGAGAUUCUCGAAGUCUGUUCUAGAGGGUAAUAGUUCCAUGGGGUGUUAUUAGGUGUUCCACAGAAAAGGGGGCUUCCCUAGACUAACAGGUUUAGAAAAAAAGAAAAAAGUGAAAAAUGAAACUGACCACAGAAUACUUUCUAAGGAGUGGAAAUCCACAGAGCACAAUGUGGGAAGUGAUGUGGGAUCCUGGCAGCCUUGGCACUAAUAGGCAUAUGGCCCGGGACUAGGCGACUAAUUGUUCCUCGCUGUUUGUCUCAGCUUACUUAUUAAAUCAAUCAUUUAAUUCAUACAAGAAAAUUAUUCUUCAGACCAGUUUUUGCCAACAGCUGGGAGAAGCAGAUCUAGAAGACCUCUGUAACCCUGGUUCAGACCUGUAUUCUUUUCAGCCUUUGCUCCCCUGCUUCAGAGUGGCGAGAAUGUGGACAGCAUUCUGUACUGAAAUAUCAUUACUGGGCAACCACGAGCCUUAAGUGUUUCCAUGGGAAAACAUAAACUAGAAAACAAAAACUUUCAGUGAAAAACCCUAAAAAUCAAAGGCAAGCCAUAGUUCGCAAAUGCAUGCAACCAACGAAAUAACAACAUCCAGAAUACAGUCAUGGCAAAGCAGUAAGAAGAAGAAACAAUUCAAAGGAAAAGAUGAGCACAGGAUAGAAACAGCCAAUUCACAAACCAUAAACAUAUGCCAAUAAACAUAGGAAAAGAUGUCCUGACUUAUCAGGAAAAUGCAAAUUAAAACAAUAUUAUCAUUGUACAUCUAUGAGACUGGCAACUUUGUUUUCAAGUCUGGCGAAGUGGGCAAGUAGAUUGGUACAAUUAUUUUGGAGAACAAUUUAUCAGUAAUUAGAGAGUUAAACGUGCUUAUUCUAAAACAGGACUUUCACGUCUAGGUACAUUUUGGGGGGUGGUGUUUCCCAACCCCUUUUCCAUGGUGGUGAACAGGGAGAGUCUGAUAUUCAUACAACACACUGGGGUAACCUGAGGAGGCUGCUUGCCGCAGAAGGGGACCCACCCAGGGGUCUGUGUUCCCUUCAGGUUCCACUUGGCUUCCCUGAGGGCUCAGGGGCUCCACGUCUUCCACCCGACCGUGGGGCCCUGCUGUGCAGCACUGGUUGGAAAGCUCUGCCCGCUCAAGGAGAUAUAUACAGAAAUGUCCCCAGUGCAGUUUUUACUGUACACAAACCAAAACAAAAUGGCAACAGCCAGCAACUUAAAUACCCAUUGGUUGGGCAAUGAAUAAAUAAAUUCUGUUAUACACUUAUACAAGGGAACAUCAUACAGCAGUUAAAAUUCAUGAGCUUGAAUACAGGGAUGAGUUGCAAAACCCUAACGUUCAGUAAGAAAUGCCAAAUGCAAAAGCAUCCACAUGCUAUAUACCAUAAUGUAUGCAUGGAAAAUUUUAAAACAGACAAAACUGCACACACCUACAUAUCUACUAGGUACAGAAAUGAAAAUAUGCAUGGACAGGAUAUCAUCACCUCCAGGACAGUGAUUGCUUAUGGAAAAGGAGGAAAGGCAACUGGAACUGACGGUGGGCGAGGGACUCAAAGGCUCUCUGGGACAUCCCAUUUCUUAAAAAACAAAAAUAAGUGAAGCAAAUGUGGCUAUAAAUUAUAUGUUAAAUCUCAGUAGUAUAUACAUAGAUUUCUAAUAUAUUUUCACAAUACUUCUUGUGCAUUUAAAAUAUUUCAUAAUUAAUAACAAGCCAGAUCAAUGAUUUCAAGCCUGGAUGCACAUUAAAAUUACUGAAGAAUUUAAAAAAUUUUCCAUGCCAGGGCUGCAUCACAGAUCAACUGAGUCAGAAACUUAAGAGGUGGGGCCGGACAUCAGUAUUAUUUGAAAGCUUCCCCGGUGAUUCUGAUGUGCAGCCUGGAGGUGAGAACUGCCGAAUUAGAUGAUCUCAAAGACUUUUCAAAUAAUAUUCUCUUUUUCUAAGCAUUUUAAUUGCACUGUAUCCUCACAUGGUUUCAAGUGAACACAGUUGUGUGAAAAGCCAAGGUUUGUUAAUAUUCACUGAGAAUUUCCCUUCUAUUAAAAGCAGUUAUCUUU